UACGAAGGGGGCUAGCGUUGCUCGGAAUUACUGGGCGUAAAGCGCACGUAGGCGGCUUUCUAAGUCGGGGGUGAAAUCCUGGAGCUCAACUCCAGAACUGCCUUCGAUACUGGAAAGCUCGAGUCCGGGAGAGGUGAGUGGAACUGCGAGUGUAGAGGUGAAAUUCGUAGAUAUUCGCAGGAACACCAGUGGCGAAGGCGGCUCACUGGCCCGGUACUGACGCUGAGGUGCGAAAGCGUGGGGAGCAAACAGG
rnacentral:rRNA from 1 species